rnacentral:rRNA from 1 species
UAGGGAAUCUUCCGCAAUGGGCGAAAGCCUGACGGAGCAACGCCGCGUGAGUGAUGAAGGUCUUCGGAUCGUAAAACUCUGUUAUUAGGGAAGAACAUAUGUGUAAGUAACUGUGCACAUCUUGACGGUACCUUAUCAGAAAGCCACGGCUAACUACGUGCCAGCAGCCGCGGUAAUACGUAGGUGGCAAGCGUUAUCCGGAAUUAUUGGGCGUAAAGCGCGCGUAGGCGGUUUUUUAAGUCUGAUGUGAAAGCCCACGGCUCAACCGCCGUGGAGGGUCAUUGGAAACUGGAAAACUUGAGUGCAGAAGAGGAAAGUGGAAUUCCAUGUGUAGCGGUGAAAUGCGCAGAGAUAUGGAGGAACACCAGUGGCGAAGGCGACUCUCUGGUCUGUAACUGACGCUGAUGUGCGAAAGCGUGGGGAUCAAACAGGAUUAGAUACCCUGGUAGUCCACGCCGUAACGAUGAGUGCUAAGUGUUAGGGGGUUUCCGCCCCUUAGUGCUGCAGCUAACGCAUUAAGCACUCCGCCUGGGGAGUACGACCGCAAGGUU